rnacentral:sRNA from 1 species
CAGUUCUUUCAGAUCAGGAAGCAGACUUAAUGGAAAAAAAGAAAACUGGGAGUGCUUCUCCAAGGCCGAACAAGCCACUUCUGGCUUCUCCUGGUCUGGGAGUGACUCUGUCAGUGACCUUGUGCUCCUGGAGUUUUUCUUUCGAGUACUGAUUUGUCUUUGUGUACUCCUCCCUCAUUGAACAUCAUGGGUGACCGUUCGUUGAGUUUGAAUACGGCUGGGAGUGAGUCGUAGUUGAUGUCCAUAGCAAGGGCCUUCUGGUGCAGGUGGUCUCCACAGGUCGCAAGGUGGCCUUAGGUUGGCUACGCGAUCUUCGCUGUACUGUCGUUGUCCUGAAGAUUCCUUCACCCUGAGUCUGGCCCCCGUCCUGGUGGCACAGCGGCUACAGCAGUUCUAGGGUCCACGAGACAGUGCACCUUUGUCCCAAAGUUUCCAGCUGAAGACCCACUAGAAAGAGAAUGGCUUAUCUCUGACCUGGUGCCUGCGGCCUAGGGAAUCCACCCCCAUUGAUCCAUCAGCCCUGGACUGUCUGAAUUAGUCCCCGAGGUGGUGGUUAUUGGCCAGGACUGGUUAGGAUCUGCCUCGUUGGGCCCCUGCCCAUGUGCCAACACCCACAUCCCCAUGUGACUGGGUUGAGCCCUGCUGUUUCCUGGGACUUGGACUGUCAGAAGUCUGCCCCAUCUUUCAGGAGCCCCCAUGCUGGGUGAAGGUGUGUGGCUCCUGGUGGUGACAAAACAUGCUUUCUGCUCCUCAGGGUGGCCUUUGUGAUUCCUCCGGUGGUGGCAGCACCCCCGUCCCUACGGGUGCCGCGGCCGCCACCCCUGUACGGCCACAGAAUGAGGAUCUUGAGGCAGGGCCUGAGAGAGCACGCUGCGCCGUACUUCCAGCAGCUGCGGCAGACCACGGCUCCACGCCUGCUGCAGUUCCCUGAGCUGAGGCUGGUGCAGUUCGACUCAGGGAAGUUGGAAGCUUUAGCUAUCUUGCUUCAGAAAUUGAAAUCUGAAGGACGUCGGGUGCUGAUUUUAUCACAGAUGAUUCUUAUGUUGGACAUUUUAGAGAUGUUCUUGAACUUCCAUUACCUCACCUAUGUAAGAAUCGAUGAAAAUGCCAGCAGUGAGCAACGGCAGGAACUGAUGAGGAGUUUCAACAGAGACAGGCGGAUUUUUUGUGCCAUUCUCUCCACUCACAGCCGUACCACAGGUAUAAACCUUGUAGAGGCGGACACCGUCGUGUUUUAUGACAAUGACCUGAAUCCAGUGAUGGAUGCCAAAGCUCAGGAGUGGUGCGAUAGGAUCGGGAGAUGCAAAGACAUCCACAUAUACAGGCUUGUGAGUGGCAAUUCCAUUGAAGAGAAAUUGUUGAAAAAUGGAACUAAAGAUCUGAUCCGAGAAGUGGCUGCUCAGGGAAAUGACUACUCCAUGGCUUUCUUAACUCAGCGAACCAUCCAGGAGCUGUUUGAAGUUUAUUCUCCCAUGGAUGAUGCUGGCUUCCCGGUCAAAGCUGAGGAGUUUGUGGUGCUUUCUCAGGAACCUUCUGUCACGGAAACCAUUGCACCCAAAAUUGCAAGACCUUUCAUAGAGGCCCUCAAGAGUAUUGAGUAUCUGGAGGAGGAUGCCCAGAAGUCCGCACAGGAGGGGGUGCUGGGACCACACACUGAUGCACUGUCAUCAGACUCUGAGAACAUGCCGUGUGAUGAAGAACCAUCCCAAUUAGAGGAACUAGCUGACUUCAUGGAGCAGCUUACACCAAUUGAAAAAUAUGCUUUAAAUUACCUGGAAUUAUUCCAUACUUCCAUUGAGCAAGAAAAGGAGAGAAACAGUGAGGAUGCAGUGAUGACUGCAGUGAGGGCAUGGGAGUUCUGGAACCUGAAGACCCUGCAGGAGAGGGAGGCCCGGCUGCGGCUGGAGCAGGAGGAGGUGGAGCUCCUGACCUACACGCGAGAGGAUGCCUACAGCAUGGAGUAUGUCUACGAAGAUGUCGAUGGGCAGACAGAAGUCAUGCCGCUCUGGACCCCGCCCACCCCGCCGCAGGACGACAGUGACAUCUACCUCGACUCGGUCAUGUGUCUCAUGUAUGAAGCCACUCCCAUCCCAGAGGCUAAGCUGCCCCCUGUGUACGUGAGGAAGGAGCGGAAGCGACACAAAACAGACCCCUCAGCUGCAGGCAGGAAGAAGAAGCAGCGUCACGGGGAGGCGGUCGUCCCUCCUCGGUCCCUGUUUGACCGCGCAACACCAGGCCUUCUGAAAAUUCGCAGAGAGGGCAAGGAGCAGAAGAAGAAUAUUCUGCUGAAGCAGCAGGUGCCAUUCGCCAAGCCCCUGCCAACUUUUGCCAAACCCACAGCCGAGCCUGGUCAAGACAACCCCGAGUGGCUCAUCAGUGAGGACUGGGCACUGCUGCAGGCUGUAAAGCAGUUACUGGAGCUGCCUUUGAACCUCACAAUCGUGUCACCUGCUCACACACCUAAUUGGGAUCUUGUCAGUGACGUUGUUAACUCCUGUAGCCGAAUCUACCGCUCUUCCAAACAGUGCCGGAAUCGCUACGAGAAUGUCAUCAUUCCACGAGAGGAGGGGAAGAGUAAAAACAACCGUCCUCUCCGUACGAGCCAGAUCUAUGCCCAGGAUGAGAAUGCCACACACACCCAGCUGUACACGAGCCACUUUGACUUAAUGAAAAUGACUGCUGGCAAGAGGAGCCCCCCAAUCAAACCUCUGCUUGGCAUGAAUCCCUUUCAGAAGAACCCCAAGCACGCGUCUGUGUUGGCAGAAAGGUAUUUCUCUAUUCGUGACACAUUUGUUACUGUUUGGAAGGAUUUCAUUCCAGUGUCAUCUAAGUUCAGUGAGUUCAGCAAAUCGUUGUGCACUUAGCGUGUUCAGGCAUCAGCUGGACGUGGCAGUGCGCAGAACCUGCAGGAGAGAGGUGCUUUUACUGCCGUGGGCUGGGGUAUGCAUGGGACGGCCCCUGCCCUGUCUCUGUGUUACAGGGAUUGUCCUUGCUGGCCCUCAGUGGGGAAAGACGCUGACAGAUGUGAUGAGUGUGCCAGGGCCAUGUGGCCAACCACAAGGGGCUUUCUUCCUCACACCCCACCUCUCAGGCACUGAUUUUGUUCGCCAUAUCUUAAGAACACACCA